ensembl:lncRNA
UGCAAUUUCUUUUCGGGAACUAAAGCGUUAAUAAUUCCCCUCGGUUGGCAAUAGAAGAGACGGCUGCGUGGGCUGCAAGAUCAUUUGAGAGUGCAUUUUUCUCCUCCAAUCCGCUGCACGGAGCUCACUCUCGAUAUGCCCAAUGGGGAGAAGGGGUGGCUCUAACGAAUUUGAAUGAAGAGAGUAUCUUUCGGCGCCAUUUUCGAGUGAGCUGCGAUUGCUUCAACAGCUGCGAGGAGCGGCUGCUGCGAGUAGGGCAUGUCAGUGGCUGGAGCUGUCGAAAGAGAGACGGAAUUAUUUUGGAGACUCGGGGAAAAAAAGACAACGAUAUAUAAAAACUGUCCCUGGAAAGAAAACAACUGGACGGUGAAAUAAAUCAAGGAAAGGGAGUCAAAGGCUACGCCGUAUCGACCGGGGGAGACGUUAUAUAGCUAGUUAGCUAAUGAUAGCAUUGCUAGCGAGAAGAAAGGGGUGUCUCACUUGGCUUCGAUGCAGAAUUGCAACAUUUAGAAAUAAAUUUGCGACAAAUUAGUGAACCUUUCUAAAAAUAAUCAAAAAUUUGAUAAAAUUAUUUCAAGCUCGAGUGAGUGGACUAUGACCGGUGGAAUUGACAUUUUUGUUAAUCUUAGUCCUUUUUUGUAACGUUCAAUUUGAGCGGGAGGUGCAAAAGCGGGAGGCACUGGAGAAACAGACGGCAUGGCUGUCAACAACAAAUGAACUGACGCUUGAUGUCGUUGGAUACCUUUUGAAAACGAUGUAAUGAUUAAAGACAUUUUCAUUUUUGUGUAAAGUGGAGGACGCAUUUUCAUGAGGCCCCUCUGGCAAAAUGGGUUCCCACCCCCAUUUCCUGGUGGAGUUGUGCUGCCUCUGUGCUCUCCCUCUGUGCUCACGUGUGGUGGCUGGUCUACAGAGAAACACCCCGUGCAGCAGAAACUCAGCCAUAUUCAGAUUCACCAUGAUGCAAGCAGGUUUUCACAGGUUUUGUUGUUAUUUUCCAGAGCUCAUGCACGAGGAGAGGUUCCGCUGCUCAGUCCUAUCAAAGGCAGGUCAUAAAGAAGCAAUAAUGGUCUCACUGGUUAAACAGGAUACUACUUAACAGGAUCCUGUUGUUUUUACUUUUUUGUUUUGUUUUGAUAAUUGGUCAGUUGUGGGGUUCCACGUUUUCAUUUCUUGUUUGGAGUUAAUAUGUUAAAGGUCUUAUCUUCCGCCUUUAAGUGUUUGGCUACUGUUUGGAUGUCACAACUGCCUGUAUCAUUUGAAACCUAUCAAGUUCCUUCUGACGUGAAUGCAUUUUUCCUCGGCUGUUUUGCAUUUGCGGCAGUUUUUGCAUAGGCCACAGUGCAGGCCUAGUGUCACAUUUGCACACAGCCAUGAUUACACCUGGACCUUCUACUGAAUGGAGCCCCCUGUAAUAUAUGCCUACCAAGAACAGGCUCUUGGUUUUGUGUGAUGCAAUAUUUUCAUUGUCAAUUUGUACGUUUGUAAUGGUGGGUAAAAUGUUACACCUCCUUGUGCAGUUUUUGGAUUUAUUAGCGUUUUAUACAGGACAGUGUAAAACCUUUUAAUCUCCUAAUAAAUAUAGUUUAAUCUUUAAGUAGAACAGUGUGUUGUGAUUGUAGUUUGAAUUCUGUGGUUUUUCUGUCCGAACUCUAAACACAGUGGUUAUGUAAUGAUUCUAGACUGCAGACAGGUCUUGGAGUGUUCUUUUAAGUUAACACUGAUGCCAAUAUUAAAAACCCA